GAUGUAGAAACGUUCUUUGAAACGAAAAUGCCGGAUGGAACAAUCCACCGGAUUCCGAAAAAACUUAAAAGUUUAAAACGGAAUGCUAUUCCGAUGAAGGAUGAUGAUUUCGAGAACAGAACCGAAGAUGAAGGCACCAAACCACAUCUUCGUGUACUUGCACCAUGUGUUCUUAAUGCAAAAUAGCGUUGUUUAUGCAAUUUGCAAUUUCUUUACAUUUAAUUAAACUCAUAUGAAAUCUUAAAUAUGUUAUACCAUUUUCUUCAGAAUAAGACUAACAGAAUCAUGGAAAACACCCAAAAGUCAAACGAAGUGAAUGGCAACUUCAAAAUCUCAUUGAUCAAACACAUUUUGCGCAAGAAAAGGAGAAUCAGGAUUCUGACAUCUUGUACGAGGGGAUAAUUUUUCUUGAAGAUAACGUACUUCGCCAAAAGUAUCUACCUGAAAAGCCUCAAGCUUUUAGUAUAAUAGAAAAUGCCUGGUACACGGACAACUUGAACCAAAAAUUGGAAAAUCGAGUGAAUCUGGAGCCUGUUUUGCAAGAAAAUGUCAAUCAGGGUUCAAUCAGCUUCCAGGCUGUGAAACCUCUCAUGGAGAAAAACGGGAAUCAGGAGUAUCUAUUUCAAGAGGCUGAAACUUGCAUUGUCAUAGGAAAUGAUAUAAAUAGUAACUUUGAUACUUCUAUGGAUUUGACACCUUUGAUACAAUUUUUCAUCAAGCUCUUAAGUUGAUCUUCUCAUAGCUUCCACGUUAAAAGAUUGAAGGAAAUUCAUGCAAAAGUACGGUUCUAUCUACAUCUCGAUGUCGCCAAAAUAUUCCAGGGCAACAUAUCAGUAUGAGUAGAGCGCAGGAUAACAAUAUAACUGCUAUAUAUACCUUCAGAAAAUUACAAAGCGACGUUCAAAGAUGUCUUCCUCAAGAUUGGUGUGCAGUAAUUGGUAACCG